rnacentral:lncRNA from 1 species
AGCCACCCAGACCCCCCCUCAGCUGUCACUCUUAAAUACACAGUGCAUUAUUGCUUCCUAAGAUGCCUGCACAUCAUUCCUGAAAAUUACAGGCUUUUUCAUCCAUCUAGAAUCCUCACAUUCCAGCAGCAUAUGAUGGAAGGGCAGAAGUCUACCAGUGUAGCUCUGAUUCUCUUUGCUACCCAAAGACAAAACUUCAAGAGGUCUGAACUAAUGAAGACACCCAAGCCAGUAGCAUUUCUAGAGCUCCUUGAAAACUGAUACUUCACAUGCAAAAAAUACUACUCAAUUUGGACAAAGUUAAGAUGUUACUUAUGCUCUCCAAAGAGCCAGUUUUGGGGUUCAUCUCCAGUAAUGCCUUUUGGUCUUUG